rnacentral:lncRNA from 1 species
AGUAUAGCUAUUACAACAACUAGUACUACUUCUACUACUGCUACUACUGAUGACUCAAAUCGUAACAACAUUUUUUAUGAAAUCAGUCACGAACCCAUUGUCGAUGAUAACUCGCUUAGUAAUGGUUCCCUUAUGCAUCAUCAAAAACACGAGCAUUUGUCUUAUAGUCAUAGAAAAAUAAAAAACAAACAUUAUGAUCAAACACAUUCAUCUAUAAACAUUGAAAGCUCAAACUGUGAUAAUAAUAUUUUACCCAUACAUAAAAUUAUUAGUAAUAGUAGUAGUAGUAGUAGUAGUAAUAUGUAUAAUAAGAAAUUAAUGGGUGACAUUAUUAGUAAUAACAAUUGCAAGAGUUAUGACAGUUAUCGUAAUAAUAUUACUUAUGUUUGUGCCAGUUCGAAUCAUGGCUAUGAUAGUAACAAUAGCAGCAUUAUCUGUAGUAACGAUAGUACUAUUCCCUGCAGUAGCAAUAGUAUUUUUUUUUGUAGUAACAGUAGUAAUAAUCAUAAUAAUAGUAACAGUAGUAAUAAUCAUAAUAAUAGUAACAGUAGUAAUAAUCAUAAUAAUAGUAACAGUAGUAAUAAUCAUAAUAAUAGUAACAGUGGUAAUAAUAAUAAUAGUAACAGUAGUAAUAAUAAUAAUAAUAAUAUAAGCUAUAGAAGUAAUAGCAACGUCUACUGCAGUAAAUCUCGCCCACCAAAUUUAGACCAGUUUAAAAUUUAUAAAGAAUUAGAUGAAAAAGCAAAUAUGAUGAACAUAUAUAAAAAAUUUCAAGUAUUAUCCUUAUUAAGAGAAAAUUUAUUUGAUUUUUAUAAAAAUUGGAAUGACAUAAGUUUAUUAUUUAAUCAUUUAAGUAGCAUUGAUUAUUCUUUUCGUGGCAUUGACUGCUCUAACUAUUUUAUGAGAAAAUCUUCUGUGAAGUUUAAUGAUGAUAUUACUUAUAGAUUUAUAAACGAGCACUUUUUAUUAACAUAUAGGUAUUAUAUAAUUUGUAAUAAUAGUGGUAAUAGUGGUAGUAGUGCUAAAGGUAAAGAGAAUGGUGUUGGAUCACAAAACUUGUGCAUAUCUGAGGACUUAAAAAACGGUCAUAAAAUAAAAAACAGUUUCAACGACAAUUUAUCAUUAUUACAGACGAACAUGAGAAAUAAAACAGAACAGCACCAGCACCAGCACCAGCAGCAACUACAAAAACAAAAACAACAACAACAACAACAACAACAGCAGCAACAGCAGCAGGUGGAAUAUAUCAAACAACAAACCAAUAUCAUGAACAACUUUUAUACUUUUAAAACAGACUCUAUGUAUAAAUACUAUCACCACUUUGGCAUCAUACGAAAAAAAUUAUAUUAUAGGUACAUAAUGAUUGUAAUUAAAAAAGCUGAUAAUCGUUUGGGUAACGGGUCUAGUUAUAUGGAUACCAAUGGUAAUAAUGAUAUUAUGAUUAAUGGACACGAUACCAGUUGUAAUAAUAGUGACUAUGAUAGUUUUUGGAAUCGUAUCGAUGGUAAAAGUGAUGGUAAAAGUGAUGGUAAAAGUGAUGAUAAAAGUGAUGGUAAAAGUGAUGGUAAUAGCGACUAUGACAGUGACAGGAAAAGCGACGAUAAAAGUUACGAAAGAAGCGAAAUAACGUGCUACGAAAAUAGCUACGGUUGUAUAAACCGUAGUGAUAACUUUAGUAAUAGUAACAAUAGUAAUAACGAAAAUAGCGCUAUUACGAAAUAUACAUUUUUUUUAAGUGGUAAUUACGAACUGUUUUUUAGUUUGUUCCCAUGUUAUAUAUUAUUUAUGAUAGAAUAUUGGAAUAUUAUUUAUGAGAAACAAAAUAAUAAGAUAAAUAAUUGUAUAAGUCGAAAUGAUGAAAUAAAUGAAGUAUAUGAUGAACUGUACUUAAAUAAGUUUUGUGAAUCACUUGAUCACUUUAAACCUAAUGUUUUGAACAGUAAUAAAAGACAGGAACAUGUAAAGGAGGUUAUUGCAUUUAUUGAAACAUUUAUUACUCCUAAAUUUAUUGCUCUUUUUUUCCCUUCUUAUUUACAAUAUUUAAAAAAUGGUACUAAACAAAAACUAAAUGUUAAAAACUUAAU